ACCAGACUCCUACGGGAGGCAGCAGUGGGGGAUAUUGCACAAUGGGGGGAACCCUGAUGCAGCGACGCCGCGUGGGUGAAGAAGCGCCUCGGCGCGUAAAGCCCUGUCAGCAGGGAAGAAAAUGACGGUACCUGAAGAAGAAGCCCCGGCUAACUACGUGCCAGCAGCCGCGGUAAUACGUAGGGGGCAAGCGUUAUCCGGAUUUACUGGGUGUAAAGGGGGCGCAGACGGCGAUGCAAGCCAGGAGUGAAAGCCCGGGGCCCAACCCCAGGACUGCUCUUGGAACUGCGUGGCUGGAGUGCAGGAGGGGCAGGCGGAAUUCCUAGUGUAGCGGUGAAAUGCGUAGAUAUUAGGAGGAACACCAGUGGCGAAGGCGGCCUGUUGGACGAUGACUGACGUUGAGGCUCGAAAGCGUGGGGAGCAAACAGGAUUAGAUACCCUAGUAAC
rnacentral:rRNA from 1 species